CAGGGAAGAGCUUGCUCUUUCGCUGACGACCGGCGCACGGGUGCGUAACGCGUAUACAACCUACCUUUUGGAGGGGAAUAGCCCAGGGAAACUUGGAUUAAUGCCCCAUAGUAUGGGAAUAUCUCCUGAUAUUUUCAUUAAACAUUUAUGGCCAUUAGAUGGGUAUGCGUCCUAUUAGUUAGUUGGUAAGGUAACGGCUUACCAAGGCAGCGAUAGGUAGGGGUCCUGAGAGGGAGAUCCCCCACACUGGUACUGAGACACGGACCAGACUCCUACGGGAGGCAGCAGUGAGGAAUAUUGGACAAUGGGCGAGAGCCUGAUCCAGCCAUGCCGCGUGCAGGAAGACUGCCCUAUGGGUUGUAAACUGCUUUUACAGAGGAAGAACCACUCCCACGUGUGGGAGUUUGACGGUACUCUGCGAAUAAGGAUCGGCUAACUCCGUGCCAGCAGCCGCGGUAAUACGGAGGAUCCAAGCGUUAUCCGGAAUCAUUGGGUUUAAAGGGUCCGUAGGCGGGCAGUUAAGUCAGUGGUGAAAGUCUUCCGCUCAACGGGAGAACUGCCAUUGAUACUGAUUGUCUUGAGUUAUUAUGAAGUGGUUAGAAUGAGUAGUGUAGCGGUGAAAUGCAUAGAUAUUACUCAGAAUACCGAUUGCGAAGGCAGAUCACUAAUAAUAUACUGACGCUGAUGGACGAAAGCGUAGGUAGCGAACAGGAUUAGAUACCCUGGUAGUCUACGCCGUAAACGAUGGUUACUAGCUGUUCGGUCCGAUUAAGGGCUGAGUGGUUAAGCGAAAGUGAUAAGUAACCCACCUGGGGAGUACGUUCGCAAGAAUGAAACUCAAAGGAAUUGACGGGGGCCCGCACAAGCGGUGGAGCAUGUGGUUUAAUUCGAUGAUACGCGAGGAACCUUACCAGGGCUUAAAUGUAGUCUGACAGGAGUGGAAACACUUUUUUCUUCGGACAGAUUACAAGGUGCUGCAUGGUUGUCGUCAGCUCGUGCCGUGAGGUGUCAGGUUAAGUCCUAUAACGAGCGCAACCCCUGUGGUUAGUUGCCAGCGAGUAAUGUCGGGAACUCUAGCCAGACUGCCGGUGCAAACCGUGAGGAAGGUGGGGAUGACGUCAAAUCAUCACGGCCCUUACGUCCUGGGCCACACACGUGCUACAAUGGUAGGGACAGAGAGCAGCCACUUCGCGAGAAGGAGCGAAUCUACAAACCCUAUCACAGUUCGGAUCGCAGUCUGCAACUCGACUGCGUGAAGCUGGAAUCGCUAGUAAUCGCAUAUCAGCCAUGAUGCGGUGAAUACGUUCCCGGGCCUUGUACACACCGCCCGUCAAGCCAUGGAAGCCGGGGGUAU
rnacentral:rRNA from 1 species